rnacentral:lncRNA from 1 species
ACCAUCAGGCUAACAUUACCCAUUACUGAGGAGUGGGCUGUAAAUGAAUUCUAAAAAUUCCAGCUCACCUUCCAGGAGAGGUGGGUUACCUCUAAACUUAAGCAAAUGA